GUUGACCUCCAAUCAGGUAGGAAUACCCGCUGAACUUAAGCAUAUCAUAAACCCGGAGGAAAAUAGUCCAUUCACUUGGACAAUUACAUUUAUGAUCUGAUCUCAAAUCAGGUAGGACUACCCGCUGAACUUAAGCAUAUC
rnacentral:rRNA from 1 species